rnacentral:snRNA from 1 species
GGAUGUGAGGGUGAUUUAGCUGUGGUAUCUGUCAUCUCAUUGAUUGUCAGGGUUAGUUCAUCUCAUCUGGUUGGCUAGGUGGGUGUACUCUUCCUCCCUCACCGCUCCCUGUAUGUCCUUUGACCUUCCCUAAAUAGGAGGGCCAGUCUUUGGUCCAGGGCAUAGGAGUAAUUCCACUACCUCACUAGAACCUACAAACAAGACCACAAGGCCCAAAUUCUUGGGUGAAAAAAGGGGAUAGGGACAGAGACGUAGGCCCUGGUGGUCAUUAGGUCUAGAGU